CAAACAACAAAAAAAACAAAACGCUCAACCCACCUUUAAUAGCCUCACCCUAUCUAAUGUCUCAUAACAUUCGAGAAAAGCAUACAUUCCAGCAUCUGAACAUAUACCAAAAAAGAGAAGAAGCAUGCAUCACAGGUGACUUGCAAACACUCAAAGGUAGGAACCUCGGCCACCCAGGACAACUUCAAGAGCCUACUCUCACUUGACGAAGGAAAAUCAAACCUGUUCGGGUUACUAGGAAAUGGUAAGAGUUAGACUUUACCAAUGAUGUUACCAGUGUUGUCAAGGUUGUUGUUGAUGAGCAGGUAGCAACCCAUCUUUUUUCCCCCAUUGAAUUUAGAUUUGUGCUUCCAAUUCUUUAUGCUAAAACAUUCCCCGAUACAAGGAGAAGCGUUACAUGCCAUCAUACCCAAGAUUCUUAUCUGGAAGUUUGAUAAGAAGAUCUGAGAGGGUGGUUUAAAUUGAUCAACACCAAUAACAGUUGAGCGUGUGGUUGCAGGUUGCAGGGUAUUCAAAGGAUGAAAUAUAAGUUGAGACACCACCAACCAAUAGUGAUACAGGAAGCACCAAAACUUUUAUCUGUUUUUCUUACCCCUACUCACGUUGUUACUACUGGUACUGCAUGUUUCAACAUGGACAUUCACAUAGGCUCUAAAUUGUUUUAGCCAAUGCAACUGUCUCAGUCUCUAUGGCGUCUCUCAUUUAAUGUACUCUAGAAAAAACCUGUAUUACAAUUAGGUUAUAAGGUUUGUCGUUGAAAUUCUUUUUUUAAUAUAAAAUUUAUCCAA